rnacentral:rRNA from 1 species
ACGGGGUGCAGCAGGCGCGAAACCUUUACAAUGCACGAAAGUGUGAUAAGGGGACUCCAAGUGUCUACAUUCGUAGACUUUUGCCAAGUUUAGAAAGCUUGGCGAAUAAGGACUGGGUAAGACCCGUGCCAGCCGCCGCGGUAACACGGGCAGUUCUAGUGGUUUCCACGCAUAUUGGGCCUAAAGCGUGCGUAGCCUGCUUUGAAAGUCCUUAGUGAAAUCCAACAGCUUAACUGUUGGGCUUGCUAGGGAUACUGCAAAGCUCGGAGCCGGGAAGGGUUGGAGGAAUUUCAGGGGUAGGAGUAAAAUCCUGUGAUCCCUGGAGGACCAACGGUGGCGAAGGCGUCCAACUGGAACGGGCUCGACGGUGAGGUACGAAAGCUAGGGGAGCAACCCGGAUUAGAUACCCGGUUAGUCCUAGCCGUAAAUGAUGCCGGUUUGGUGUAGCAUAACUUACGAGGUUAUGCUGUGCCGUAGGGAAGCCGUUAAACCGGCCGCCUGGGGAGUACGGUCGCAAGACUGAAACUUAAAGGAAUUGGCGGGGGAGUACUACAAGGGGUGGAGGCUGCGGUUUAAUCGGAUACAACGCCGCACAUCUCACCGGGAUCGACAGCAGUAUGACAGUCAGUCUGAAGGGCUUACUCGACGCGCUGAGAACUGGUGCAUGGCCACCGCCAGCUCGUGCUGUGAAGUGUCCUGUUAAGUCAGGCAACGAGCGAGACCCGUGCUUCCAGUUGCUACCUAUUUUCUACGGAAAAUGGGGCACUCUGGAGG